ensembl:lncRNA
GAAGGGAAAGGAAGGGAAGAAGGACUAGUAGUAUGUAUCUAUAUACAUAUAUACAUAUAUGUGUAUGUAUGUUGUAGUGGAAAUACUAAGUCAUGGCCUGAACCAGUGACUGAGCACCUGGUGGGACGGCAGGGCCAACCCAGGGGAGCUCAGGCUCAUGCAAUGAGUGACUGGAAGGGAUGGAGCCAAGAUCCACUCCUCAUUUAACAGUUGGCAGUGGAGGUGUGGGUAUCUCACUGGAGAUCCCUGCCUACCUAAGACUUUCUAAGGCUUUACAGGUUGCCUUCACGGUCCAGGCAAUGAUGUGAACAAGAGAUAUCAAAUGCUCAGGGAAACUCUUGGUUGGAACAAACUCCUUCCCUCAUCUCAGUAAUAUCCAGGCACGUCUUAGAAAAGUAUGAAUUAGCGAUAAGAAAGGAAAUUAAAAAUUGCCAUCUUGCUAUACACAAAGGAUGAAAAGCAAGACUUGGGAGUGAGAAAGCUUUCUUCUUACGGGAAUUGGAACUGAAUGUGUGAUGCAAGCAGUCUCAUGAAAAGGGCACUGUCUGACAAGCACAGCCACCAUUAAAACCACUAUUGUAUAAGCUCACUAUUUCCUUGAGCUCACUAUUUCCUUGUUACGUUUCGCGUAACGUAUAUUAAGACUGUAUUUAUAAGAUGCACUCUAAACUUUGCAUUAAAGAACAGCCCUGCUACUGAAAUAGACGUAAUUCAUUUACUAACAGCCCUUGUUGCUGUGCUCCAAUAAUGUAAUUGCUUUCAUUGUGUCCCAACCAUAUGAUUAUUCCUGUUGUGUAGGAAAUUUAAG